ensembl:lncRNA
AGUGUCUCAUUCACUGAAAUGAACACGGCCAUUUUAGAAACCCAGCAAAGAUGGAAAUGGCUACAAAAAACAACGCCACGGUCCCCGGGUCUGACGCAAAGCCACAGACUGAGCAGCAGGGAUCAUAAAUGAGCAGUGCCGCCCCUGAGCCACGGAGAGCGGCACAAACGCCAGGGCAGGAGUGCUGGAAGUGCAGGCAACCGGGACACCUGAGGAGGGACUGUCCUCUGAUGGAAGUGGGGCAGAUGUUCCGCGUCGCCGGUGCCCCAGCACUCUCUCCCGGUCCAGGAGGGACGUACAGCAUUCCGUUCCAAGACUCCGACUCGACUCUUCUGCAGUGCAGUCUCCUGGAUGCUGGUCGCUGUCGUUAAGACCCACCGUGUCAGUCUGCAAGCCCACUCCUGGGAAACGCAACUACCUACUCUUCUCACCCGGGUCGUCCUGCCCAUAAUUCUCCUUUGGAUCGUUGGAAAUAUAAGGUCACAACUCUCCGCCACGCACCCUGAUAUUCAGCAAGAUGCUCACUCCGCCACCCUCCCAGAAACCUUCCUUCUCACGCGUGCAAGGUUUAAAUCUGGGACUCUCGGCCAUUUGACCUUAGAACUGAAGAAGCUUCUGGGAUGAGAGGUGAAACGUCUUCAAGCAACUUAAAGAAGUCCAGACGCUUUUCUUUGCAAAUUCCUUUGACUACGAUGAGCUGGAUGACUGAGAACCUUCACAGACUUUAUCCCGUCUUC